rnacentral:rRNA from 1 species
UACGAAGGGGGCUAGCGUUGCCCGGAAUCACUGGGCGUAAAGGGCGUGUAGGCGGUCAAGCAAGUGGAAUGUGAAAGCCCCCGGCUCACCCGGGGAUCUGCAUUCCAAACUGCUUGGCUUGAGUACGGGAGAGGAUAGGGGAAUUCCUGGUGUAGCGGUGAAAUGCGUAGAUAUCAGGAGGAACACCGGUGGCGAAGGCGCCACUCUGGGCCGAAACUGACGCUGAGGAGCGAAAGCGUGGGUAGCAAACAGG